UUUGAUCAUGGCUCAGGACGAACGCUGGCGGCGUGCCUAAUACAUGCAAGUUGAACGCUGAAGGUUGGUACUUGUACCGACUGGAUGAGCAGCGAACGGGUGAGUAACGCGUGGGGAAUCUGCCUUUGAGCGGGGGACAACAUUUGGAAACGAAUGCUAAUACCGCAUAAAAACUUUAAACACAAGUUUUAAGUUUGAAAGAUGCAAUUGCAUCACUCAAAGAUGAUCCCGCGUUGUAUUAGCUAGUUGGUGAGGUAAAGGCUCACCAAGGCGAUGAUACAUAGCCGACCUGAGAGGGUGAUCGGCCACAUUGGGACUGAGACACGGCCCAAACUCCUACGGGAGGCAGCAGUAGGGAAUCUUCGGCAAUGGACGAAAGUCUGACCGAGCAACGCCGCGUGAGUGAAGAAGGUUUUCGGAUCGUAAAACUCUGUUGGUAGAGAAGAACGUUGGUGAGAGUGGAAAGCUCAUCAAGUGACGGUAACUACCCAGAAAGGGACGGCUAACUACGUGCCAGCAGCCGCGGUAAUACGUAGGUCCCGAGCGUUGUCCGGAUUUAUUGGGCGUAAAGCGAGCGCAGGUGGUUUAUUAAGUCUGGUGUAAAAGGCAGUGGCUCAACCAUUGUAUGCAUUUGGAAACUGGUAGACUUGAGUGCAGGAGAGGAGAGUGGAAUUCCAUGUGUAGCGGUGAAAUGCGUAGAUAUAUGGAGGAACACCGGUGGCGAAAGCGGCUCUCUGGGCCUGUAACUGACACUGAGGCUCGAAAGCGUGGGGAGCAAACAGGAUUAGAUACCCUGGUAGUGCACGCCGUAAACGAUGAGUGCUAGAUGUAGGGAGCUAUAAGUUCUCUGUGUCGCAGCUAACGCAAUAAGCACUCCGCCUGGGGAGUACGACCGCAAGGUUGAAACUCAAAGGAAUUGACGGGGGCCCGCACAAGCGGUGGAGCAUGUGGUUUAAUUCGAUGCAACGCGAAGAACCUUACCUGGUCUUGACAUCCACAGAACUUGGCAGAGAUGCCUUGGUGCCUUCGGGAACUGUGAGACAGGUGCUGCAUGGCUGUCGUCAGCUCGUGUUGUGAAAUGUUGGGUUAAGUCCCGCAACGAGCGCAACCCUUAUCCUUUGUUGCCAGCGAUUCGGUCGGGAACUCAAAGGAGACUGCCAGUGAUAAACUGGAGGAAGGUGGGGAUGACGUCAAGUCAUCAUGGCCCUUACGACCAGGGCUACACACGUGCUACAAUGGCAUAUACAAAGAGAAGCGACCUCGCGAGAGCAAGCGGACCUCAUAAAGUAUGUCGUAGUCCGGAUUGGAGUCUGCAACUCGACUCCAUGAAGUCGGAAUCGCUAGUAAUCGUGGAUCAGAAUGCCACGGUGAAUACGUUCCCGGGCCUUGUACACACCGCCCGUCACACCAUGGGAGUGGGUUGCAAAAGAAGUAGGUAGCUUAACCUUCGGGAGGGCGCUUACCACUUUGUGAUUCAUGACUGGGGUGAAGUCGUAACA
rnacentral:rRNA from 1 species